rnacentral:rRNA from 1 species
UUGGAGGGCAAGUCUGGUGCCAGCAGCCGCGGUAAUUCCAGCUCCAAUAGCGUAUAUUAAAGUUGUUGCAGUUAAAAAGCUCGUAGUUGAAUUUCGGAAUCCAUCCGUCGGUCGGGCCUCACGGUCCGCACUGGUGUGAUGGAUUCCUACCUUCUGAAUAACCAGCAUGUCAUUAAUUUGGUGCGUUGGGGAAGCAGGACUGUUACCUUGAAAAAAUUAGAGUGCUUAAAGCAGGCUAGUGCCUGAAUACAUUAGCAUGGAAUAAUGAAAUAGGACGGCAUGGUUCUAUUUUGUUGGUUUCUAGGAUCACCGUAAUGAUUAAUAGGGGUAGUUGGGGGCAUUAGUAUUCAAUUGUCAGAGGUGAAAUUCUUGGAUUUAUUGAAGACUAACUUCUGCGAAAGCAUUUGCCAAGGAUGUUUUCAUUAAUCAAGAACGAAAGUUAGGGGAUCGAAGACGAUCAGAUACCGUCGUAGUCUUAACCAUAAACUAUGCCGACUAGGGAUCGGACGAUGUUAAUUUUUUAAUGACUCAUUCGGCGCCUUACGGGAAAC